GGGCUAAUUUGACUCAACACGGGGAACCUCAUCAGGCCAGGACACCGGAAGGAUUGACAGAUUGAGAGCUCUUUCUUGAUUCGGUGGGUGGUGGUGCAUGGCCGUUCUUAGUUCGUGGAUUGAUUUGUCUGCUUAAUUGCGAUAACGAACGAGAUCCUACCCUACUAACUAGUCGACACCGGCAUCCCCUGUGCAGCCGGCGACCAACACUCUUCUUAGAGGGACAGGCGGCUUCCAGCCGCAGGAAGUGGGGCAAUAACAGGUCUGUAAUGCCCUUAGAUGUUCUGGGCAGCACGCGCGCUACACUGAAGGGAUCAACGUGUGUUUUCCUUGCUCGAGAGGGCCGGGUAACCCGUUGAAACUCCUUCGUGCUAGGGAUUGGGGCUUGCAAUUAUUCCCCACCAACGAGGAAUGCCUAGUAAGCGGGAAUCAUUACUUCCUGCUGAUUAAGUCUGACUUA
rnacentral:rRNA from 1 species